ensembl:misc_RNA 7SK 7SK RNA
GGGUGUGAGGGUGAUCUGGCUGCGACAUGCAUCACCCCAUUGAUCGCCAGGGUUGAUUCAGCUGAUCUGGCUGGCUAGGCUGGUGAUGACCCCUUCCUCCCUCACUGCUCCAUGUGCGUCCCUACUCUAAGCUGAGUGCUCUGUCAAAGAGGACGGCCUUCCCUGAAUAGAGACGGACCGGUCUUCCGUUGAGGGUAUAUGAGUAGCUGUGCUCCCUGCUAGAACCUCCAAACAAGCUCUAAUUAACAUAAAAUAAAUAAAAUUUAAAAUAAUGACGACUCCCUGUCUCAGUAAGAGGGAUAAUUUAGCCAGCUAUUAAUGUUAUU